UUGGAAAAUGGUCAGAAGGAAAAUCCAGUUCAGCCUAAAUUUCAUGGUGAGUUUCCAGGUUAGUCCUCUGUGUCCUUUCCCACAGAGGACUAACCUGGAAACUCACCAUGAAAUUUAGGCUGAACUGGAUUUUCCUUCUGACCAUUUUUCAAGGUGUCCAGUGUGAUGUGGAGCUGGUGGAGUCUGGGGGAGAUGUGAUACAGCCUGGGGGAUCUCUGAGUCUCUCCUGCAAAGGUUCUGGAUUUACUUUCAGCAGCUACUACAUGCAUUGGGUCCGCCAGGCUUCAGGAAAGGGACUGGAAUGGGUUGCAAGAAUUAGCACUAGUGGAAGUAGUACAUACUAUGCAGACUCUGUGAAAGACCGAUUCACCAUCUCCAGAGAUAAUGGCAACAGCAUGUUAUAUCUACAAAUGACUUCCCUUCAGACUGAGGAUACAGCUGUGUAUUACUGCACAAGAGGCACAGUGAGGAAAAGGAAUGUGAGACCUGAUAAAAAACUUCCCCUGCCAGGAGGUGAAGUGUCAGUGAGGCAAGAAGUGGACUGAGCUCAUGAUGCAGAA